rnacentral:rRNA from 1 species
AUUGAACGCUGGCGGCAGGCCUAACACAUGCAAGUCGAACGAGUGGCGGACGGGUGAGUAAUGUCUGGGAAACUGCCUGAUGGAGGGGGAUCACUACUGGAAACGGUAGCUAAUACCGCAUACCAUCAGAUGUGCCCAGAUGGGAUUAGCUUGUUGGUGGGGUAACGGCUCACGAAGGCGACGAUCCCUAGCUGGUCUGAGAGGAUGACAAGCCACACUGGAAAGGAGACACGGUCCAGACGCCUACGGGAGGCAGCAGUGGGGAAUAGUGCAAAAUGGGCGAAAGCAUGAUGCAGCCAUGCCGCGUGUAUGAAGAAGGCCUUCGGGUUGUAAAGUACUGUCAGCGGGGAGGCGUUACCCGCAGAAGAAGCACCGGCUAACUCCGUGCCAGCAGCCGCGGUAAUUC